CUGCGUGGUCUUCUUGGGCACUCCACUGUAUGAAGUGACUUUGUUUCUCUGUUUGCUUUUCAGAUGCUGGUCUCCCUUCUAGGAUGUCACUGCUCGGAACAAGUGGGGUCUGCUUUGCCCACAGGCUGGCCCAGGGCUCAGCUUAGAGCAGGUGCAGGCAGAUGACCUGGGACCAGGCUAGUCUGUGCCUGGGGACAUGCUUAGAACCGGCCGUGUCAUCAACUGCUCAGGAGUGGCCCCGGCGUCCAGCUCGCUGCCAAUCUCCCCUGGCCUUCCGCCACUUUCAGGGAGGAGAGAGGAAGAUGAACAGUCUAACAGCAUGCUGUGUGACUUGCAGGCCAAGUUGUUUGGAGGGCAGCCUCUUUCCCCCAAGCCUGGCCACCAGGGCUGGUCACACCUGGGGCAUGUGUGCAGUGAGGAGGUAUGUGGGCCCUGGGGGCCUGGCAAGGACCCUUCUGCACCUGCUGCCCUCCCAUCCUGCCCUGGACCUGAGCCCCUCUCCUUCCAGCCACUGGUGGGUGCUGCAGAUGGGUGCUGGGGCGUCUCCUGUGUGAGUCUGGGGGACCCUCUGUCUGGAAGCAUCUGCUGGGUGAGUCUGGGGGUACCUCUGGGAGCAUCUGCUGGUGAGUCUGGGGGGCCCUCUGUCUGGAGGUGUCUCCUGGGAGAGUGGGGGACCUACUAUUCUGAGGAGGCCACCCCCUCGAACCUGUUCUCAUUCCUGGCUACCUGUGGCCCAGCCUGGGACCACUUGCAUGAGCUGACUGAGCUCAGUCUCCCACACGCUCUGCUCAGAUAG
rnacentral:lncRNA from 12 species